UAUUUUCCAUACAGGAGAUAAAUUAGGAGUUGAUUAAAAAGACAAAAAAAACGAAUGCAUUAAUAAACAAGUACAUUUAAAUAAAAGAUGUAGAUAUUUAAUUUAAAAUUGUUUCAUUUCAAGUGAGGUGAAUGUGCUUAAUGUGCUUAGUUUGUAACAUUUGUAAAGAUUCAGGUGACAUAGAGAGUUGAUAGAGCUGAAGUAGGUGAGUUCACGUGAUAAAUGCAUGAUACAAGGCUGAUAUACCUCAGCAGCCAAUCAGAACCAUGCUUACAGCGCCAAUUAACUAACAUGUCUCUGCAAAGUGGACAGAAACCUGGAGUUUGUGAGCCGUGCUCCAUCUCAAGUUGGAGUGUGUGUGCCUAAAAUUGAACUUUUCUGGCCGGGUCUUUUUCUUUCUCCUGUUUUAAGUUGGAUUUGAAGUUUUUCUGGAGUGUGGAUUUCUUCUGCUGCUCCUCUGUGCUACAACCGUGGUGGUAGAGUGCAGCAGUUGUGGCGAGCCGAGCUAUUUGAUGAGACGAUCCUGAGAGAUCUGAACUGUUAUUUUCAUCAUCAAUCCUGUGAGCGUGAUGGUGCCCUCUCCUGGAAAGAUAUCAUCUGUGAUGGAGACCUCCACGUCAUAAGUUCCGUCAUCAGAGAGUCGGAGGUUGUGGAGAAGCAGAGUCCCAUUCUCAAAUACCAGGAUGCGAUCA